UAUAUAUAUAUAUAUAUAUCUCAUUUUUCGAGAGAUAAAAUCUGAGGAUUUACUUCUUCACACUUCAAAUAUGGACUCAUCCAUCUUUGUUAUACAAUCAGCUUAAGGUAUUGUAUGUAUCUUUACAUAGACAUGAAGGUGUAAAAUUUUAUCCUGGUACUGGCGCAGUCCGAGCUAAUGUCAGAUCAUGAACCUGAUGAUUCCGAUACUGAGUUCAUUGAUAUCGAUAUAUCCGGUUCUUAUGGUUGGGUAUUGUAUUACAUAGACAUGGUGGAAAAUUUUAUCCUGGUACUGGCGCAGUCCGAACUAAUGUCAUAUCAUGAACCUGAUGAUUCCGAUACUUAGUUCAUUGAUAUCGAUAUACCCGAUUCUUAUGGUUGUGUUAGUAUGUUUAAUUUAAUCAUUUUUAUGCAAAUUUGACUAAUAUUUUAGAUUGUGAUAUCUGAUGGCGAUAUUGGGCUUUUUUCAGAUUGAUUUUAUGAUCCAACUUGUAUUAAAAGGGAUGAAAUGAUGAGAUUCAGAACAUUCGAAUGUUAUACUGAAAGCAAAGGUCACAACUGGUCUGUUUAUUUUGUUUGUAAAGAAUUCGGGUUUUGCGAAGAAAAAACUGUCCGAACUAAUGUUAGAUCAUGUACUGAAGAAGAAGUUGAAACUUCUGUUUGUUGUGAAACAUGUAUUUGGCAAAGGUCUGUUUUAUGUUUUGAAAACCUCAAACAGAUGUUAGAAAAUAAAACAGAGGUUGAUACAUCUGUUGACUUUGGUCAACAAAUGGUUGAAACCACUGUUGGGAUAAAAUCAAUGUUUUGUGGAGAAAACAGUGGUUGGAACCACUGUUGGGUUAAAACAGUGGUUUGAAACCACUGUUGGGUUAAAACAAUGUUUUGUAGGGAAAAUAGAUGUUUGAAACCACUGUUGGGUUAAAACGGUGGUUUGACUUUUAUCGAAUAAUACUGUUUCUUUAAUCCCUCUCUUUUGAUUUUAAAACCAUUGUAUCAAGUAAUACUCUACCAUGGUUUUAAGUUGAUUUACAGGUCUUGAACGAGUGCUCGGAAGCAGAGACUUGGUUGAGAGAGUCAUCAGAACAUGAGGUUGGUCCUCGGAACACCAUUGGGGAUGUUCCUUUUGAGUGGUACAAAGAUGAGGAACAUGUUGGAUAUGAUAUUGCUGGAAAGAAAAUCAAGAAUGAGAGACUGGAUAAGUUGGAUCCUGUUCUAGCCAGAACUGGUGAUGCAAAUAGGUGGUGGGUUGGAGAAUCAUUGUUGUUUUGUCUUUGAGUUCGCCUUUACGCGAUUUCGUCUAAGGAACUAAGAUGAAGAACUGUGCUCACUUGUGUUUUUGUUUCCUCAUAUCCCACUUCUUAUUCAUUUUCUUUGACUAACGCCAAUAAUAAGAUUGGAUUACUGAGGUGUGAUUUUAAACUAUACGAAGUCAUCGGAUGUCUGUUUCAGUAUUCGAAUUGUUGGAUUUCAGAAUUUGAACAGGUUUACAAGGCAUGUGAGUUACCAUUCUAAACAAAAGUUAAUUGUUUGUUUGGUGGUUAAUUUUAGGUGGAAGAGAAAAUCGACCAGGUUCGGAUGUCUUUGAGCUCACAGGGAAUGUGAUUAAAAUGAUGUCGGAUUUUCUGAAGUCGGCGGUGGAUGUGGCAAUGCUAGUGUUGAAGCAGGCCGGAGGAGAGGCAGUGAAGAUUGCUACACCGAUGAUUACAGAGGCAUCAAAGGAAGCACAAGAAGCGAUUCAAGUUAAUUUUUAUUUGAUUCUGAGUAUUUGUCAAUUCUUAAGUGAAUAUAACUUAAUUUGUUUGUUAACAAGCUAAUUUUUGUCAAUUCUUAAGGAUUUUGUUAACAAGAAGCGAUUCAGGUUAAUUUUUGUCAAUUCUUUAGGAUUUUAUGAUUCGGUCUCUAUACAUGAAUUUUAGCUCCUACAUUUUAUCAAGUAUAAUAUUACACUUGCAAAUUGCAUGAUUUCAUAAGUUGUAAUCGCUUCUUUGUUGAUCUGGUGUGUAAUCAACUUAGACCUGAUGUGUAAUUAGUCUUAAAGCUAAAUAUACAGGAGGGUUGUCAAAAAGGUAAAACUAAUAGUAACUAUCUUAGGUAAUCAGUCUACUUCCUGAAGCUAUAAUCUUUUAAUGUUAUAUUCUGGGUUUUCUUUGUUCUAACAAUGUACGGUUUUUUGUUUCUUUGACCUAUGCUAUACGCUCCUUUGGGCUGGGUAAUAGGCUCGGGUCAAAAGGUUAAUUUGU